ensembl:lncRNA
AGAACCUGAACCCUGAAAACACGCUGCAAGAAACACGAGCAGCUCAUUCAGGUUCUAGAAUUCUCUUGGACAAAGCAUUUGAAGCUGCCUGAGCUGAAGGAAGCAACAAGAAAAAUUAACCUCGUUAACAACUACAUCUACAGAGAUACAGAGAUCCCAGAAUAUCCUCGACCUCAGUUUCAGGUCAGUUUUCUGAAACAUGAUACAACAGUAGAAGGCUUGAAAGGAAUCCGGCAGGAUGGAGGCUUUAGAGAUCCACAUGGAGGAUCUCUGGUUUGGUGGAGUCUGUCUGUGAGAGAUGAAGAUGUGGGAGCUGCAGAGAGGAAGAUGAUGGAGGAGGAGUACCGCGGUAUGAACGGGCAGAUCAACCUGAAGAGGUUCGCCACCUCCCCAGCCUUUUCUCCAAAAUCCCGGUUGGGCCACUUCCGCUUCACCUUCCCCCUGGAGGAGGUGCUAAAGGCAUACAGUCAGCAGUUCUGCAGUGGUGGUCAGCCCGUCAUGCAGGUCUAUAAGACGGUCCUUUACAAACAGGAAAUUAUGUAUGCGGUGUUGGUCCACAGUCCAGAUGAUCAGGAGGACUCGACUGAAGACCCGAACGCCGUCUGCUUCUUCAGAGACGGCAGGUUCUUGUGGAGGUCAGAGGCCAUGUGUGGGACACACCGGUAUAAGCUCAACAAAAACAACAACAGUUUAGGAGUGGAGGAGAUCCCUCCUUAUCCUCCGAAAUAUUAUGUCUGGGACAAUGUUGCCAUCGCGUUCGAUGUUGGGGAAGAGGUGCUGGAGUUUAAUGUGGAUCAGCUCAGACAGAACCUGAAGUACUGCGAGCUAGACUCUGUGACGUACAACUUCACUGACAAGCUGACUGCUGAACAAGCUGAAGAACUGAUCAGAGACUUGUGGCCAGAGUCCCCGGUGGAGAAUCUGCCCCGUCACACUGGAGACGGUGAUGCUCCUCCCCCUGAGCGUCCUUCAUAAAAACCUCAUGUAGCUCCGCCCACCUGCGGCGUCUCCUGGUCUUAUAUUUACUGUUAUCUUUGCUCUGAUUUGCUUGCUGUAACCCCCCCCCCAUCCCCACCAAUCACAGACGUGUGUGAAGUUGUUGAUUAUGCUGAUGAUUCUCUAUUAUUAGGAUCAAUAAUAAUCCUGAUGGAUUUUAUGUUGGAUGAUUUCUGAUCAUGUCUGUGUGAUCUCAUGAUGUUUUAUAUGAUUAUUCCUAAAGACAAAUAUUUGAUGUUAUUGCUUUUACUGCAUUUUGGAGUCAUUAACUGGAGUUUAAUAUUUUAAUAAUGAUUUAUUUUAACGAUUUUGAUGAAUUUAGAAGAUUUUAUUCAAAUCAAAAGGGCAAGUGUGAUGUUACCUUCUUCUCUUAAUCUUUUGGGUAAAGGUUUACUUUCUUGUUGAGGUGAAGGUUUUGUGUUCUCUGCUGUAGAUGCUAAACUCUGUUGUAGAAACCAGAAAGACUUGUUAGGAUUUAAACAAGUCUUCACUUGUCCUUCAGUCGUGGUGGAGACAUCUCCACGUUUCUUUUUGAAAAUCACUGAGAAUCAAAGAGGAGUGCAGAGCCUUCAUUCUACGCACUCACUUCAUGCAGAAAUUGUAAUAA